AUUGAACGCUGGCGGCAUGCCUAACACAUGCAAGUCGAACGGGGCAGCAAUGCCUAGUGGCGGACGGGUGAGGAAUACGUAGGAAUCUGCCCUUAAGUGGGGGAUAACCAGGGGAAACCCUGACUAAUACCGCAUGAUCUCUUCGGAGCAAAGAGGGGGACCGCAAGGCCUCUCGCUUCUGGAUGAGCCAACGUCUGAUUAGCUAGUUGGUAGGGUAAAGGCCUACCAAGGCGACGAUCAGUAACUGGUAUGAGAGGAUGAUCAGUCACACCGGAACUGAGACACGGUCCGGACUCCUACGGGAGGCAGCAGUGGGGAAUAUUGGACAAUGGGCGCAAGCCUGAUCCAGCAAUGCCGCGUGUGUGAAGAAGGCCUUCGGGUUGUAAAGCACUUUAGCCUGGAAAGAAAAAACUUUGGUUAACACCCAAAGUCUUGACGGUACCAGGAGAAUAAGCACCGGCUAACUCUGUGCCAGCCGCCGCGGUAACAC
rnacentral:rRNA from 1 species